CGCGGAGCGUGGGAAGAGCGGGCGGAGCUGAGUCCGCAGCGUUGCGCCUCCCGCGGGUUGCUGCGCCGCGGGGCUGCGAUUGCUGUGCUGCGCCGGAAGCCGCGGGCCGCCCAGAGAAACAGCAAGUGACAGAGCAGAGGACAACUGGCCCAGCCAAACCUGUUGCUGCUGCAGUGCUUGUUAUGUCAAAAUAGAGGGCUCUCUGGACCUUACCCCUCCCUUGCCAAGGCUUCUGGGUGUCCUUCUGCCAGGCUGUACAGAGUCUGCCUUUAGCCAGGGUGUGUUGGCCCCCACCUGCCACCCAGCAGGAUCAAGAUGUAGAACUCUCAACUCCUUCUCCAGCACCAUGUCUGCCUGCACACUGCCAUGCUUCCUGCCAUGAUGAUAAUGGACUAAACCUCCAAAACUGCAAGCCAGCCCCAAUUAAUUGUUUUCCUUUAUAAGAGUUGCUGUGGUCACAGAAACCCUAACUAAGACAGAAGUUGGUAUCAGGAGUGGGAUAUUGUUGUGAUAAGCUUGACCAUGUUUUUGGGACUUUGGGUUAGGAAAGCAGUAGAAUGCUUUAAAUGCUGCUUAAUAGGCCAUACUAGUAGGGACAUGGAAGACAGUUGUGCUGAGGGUGAUUUGAGCUGAGAGAUCCUGCCUCAAGAGGCUUCAGAGGAGAAUAAUUUUAGUAUGUUACCUAGAAAUCCUUCUUGUGAUAUUUUGGUGAAGAACGUAGCUGCUUUUUGCCCUUGUCUGAAAAGUUUGAGGCUAAAGUGAAGAGUUUUGGAUUAAUUGCAUUGGCAAAGGAAAUCUCAUAGAAGACUAAUACUGAUUCUGUCCUGUGGUUAUUAGUGUUUGCUCUUGUGAGGAUUUAUAAUGAAAACGGGCGAGCUGAGCAAGUGAAAAUACAAGAUGUACAGAUUGAGGAGAAAAGGGACACCAGAAAGUGAAAUAGAGCUAAGUCCUGUGUUCAAGGAGAUAAACAGAUGAAGAAAUGGAAUAAAGGGAGUGAUGACCUUAGGGCAAGACCCCACCCAGUUAAGCUUCCAGUUUGUGAAAAAGAAUUAAAGAAACACUUCGGUCUAGGCGUGGUGGACCUAACCUCAGUACUCAAGCCUUUAAUCCCAGUACUCAGAAGGCAGAGGUGAGUGGCUCUCUGAGUUUGAGGCCAGCCUGAUCUACAGAUAGAGUUUUAGGACAGCCAAGCUUAGGCAGUGAAGGAAGCCAUCAAACCAGAUGGUCAGUAAAGAUUUUUGAAAGAGGGGGCCAUGUUCCAACCCCAACAAGCAGCAGAAUUUGGCAGCUUCAGCCAUGUGGUUCUGGCUUUAGAAUCAAGGUUAGAAGAAAGGGGUUAUGGGAUCUCAGCUACAAAGGAAAGCCACUGAGGCCAGGCAUGUGUCAGGGGUGUCCCUGCAUGGAGGCCUAGAGAGGCCAUUGUGUGAAGCUGUGAAGGUGAAGCCUGGAUGGCCCUGGAGACCCCAUGAUGUUGGAGAUGCCAGAGCUGUGGGAUACCUGCCAAGGAAAGCUGCUAAUGGAAUGGAACCAGUCCAGAGAAAGAAGUGUGUUGCAGUCAACAAAGCUAAAAGGAAUUGGCGAGCUGAAGAGCAUUUUGACAUCAGACAUGGAGGACUUUAUAAGAGAUUGCAUGAAUCUCAGAAGAGACUUUGAACUUUGGACUUUUAAAUAUUGUUGAGGCUGUGAUAAGAGUAUGGGGACUUUUGAAGUUGGACUAAAUGCAUUUGCAUUAUGUUAUGGCUACAAGCCUUAUGGGAGCCAGGCCCCCAUAGACUCAUGUGUUUGAAUGCUUGGCCCAUAGGGAGUGGCACUAUUAGGAGGUGUGGCCUUGUUGGGGGAGGUGUGGCCUUGUUGGGGGAAGUGUGUCACUGUGGAGGCAGGCUUUGAGGUCCAUUAUAUAUGCUCAAGCUAGGCCUAGUGACACAGACUCCUGCUGCUGCCUACAGAUCAAGAUGUAGAACUCUCAACUCCUUCUCCAGCACCAUGUCUGCCUGCACACUGCCAUGCUUCCUGCCAUGAUGAUAAUGGACUAAACCUCCAAAACUCCCUGGCUGGUUUGGAACCCACUGCGUAGAACAGACUGGCUCCCAAGUGCAGAAAUCAUAGACAUAUGACACCAUGUCUAGCUACUAACUAUUCUUGAGGUCCUGCUCUGUGCCAGGCAAUGUAUUAGACCUUGGACAGACACCUGUGAGAAGAUGGUCAGGGCCUGACUGUCAGGGAUACUACAUUCUAAACAAAGUUUCUCCAAUACUUCAUCGUCAUCCAGCUUUCUUAAAGAGAAGCAAUACCUCUUUGUUGCAUUCUUUUAGUUCUUUCAUUCACCAUGUGGUCCAGGAACGUAUGAUUACAUCCUGGAAGGACCCUUCUCCAUUGUGUUUAUACAAGAGGCUAUGGAUUAUACAUUUGGAGUCAUUGCCCAACGGUUAUGAGCAGAAGCACACUUUUAAAAGCCCCUGCCUCAUGACUUUGGGCUCAUAGAAGCUCCAGAGGUGCUUAUGUCAUGUCAGACCCAUGGAAACUUCUUGAUCGUGUCCUCAGCUUCCUCUCUAGCUCUGCUGCCCCAGAAAUGUGCAAGUCAGUAGAGUCCAGGUGCUUACCUGAAGAUGCAAAAGAACUUGAACCAUCUUAUUCUGGGGUCAGGACUGCGACACCUUGUAUCUGGAUAGAGAUUUGGGUCUGCGCAGGAGACGACUGGUGGUCCAGUGAGGCUUAAGGACUUGAUGGCGUAACCUACUUCUCCCCCACAAAAGGGAAUUUUCCGAUCUGCCACACCUCAGUGUUGCGGCAAAAAUAAUUCUUGGCUCCCCUGGAAACCAUCGGGCAAGGUAGGGCAGAACUGCUGCUGCUGCUGUCGCGACCACCGUGGGCUUCCUACUGAGUGGGCUGCCCCCAAGUGAAGGGAUCUACACUGAUGCUCUGAUCAUCCAGAGGUCCUUAGAGCAGCUCUGAGCUGAGUCCACUUUGGAAGAACCUGCCUUUUGGAAGCUGCUUGGAAAGAGAACUCAACAGAGUACAACUCCAUCUCUAAGUAGGUGACAACCUCUUGGCAACUCAGACUCAGCUGAGGAUGAUGUUUGUGCAUCUAAGCCAUACUGCUGGUUAAAGCAGUUUGCUUGCAUUUUUAUAGAACAGAAAAGAGGAGCUACUUGACCACUCUGCUUUCAAUAGAUGCUGAUAGAUGAAAGGUCAUGCUGGAUGAAGUUGCUGAGGUGGAAUGAGGGCCAGUAGGAUGCCAUGUUUAGAGAAGGAAAGACUUGGGCACUCAAUAUGGCUAAAGGUGGUUAUGCCCUACAUCAAAUACAAGCUUCCAGUGUCUCCUCUGUUUCCUGCUUAACUUGCUCUGCUGAAGAAUAUCUUUUGACCUUUCUUCACUCUUUUGACCUUUUACUCUCUGUGCUUUCCUACAACCCUUCCUCUUCUUCCCUUUGAUUUUUUUCUUUAGGAUGAAUGAGGACAUUCUCAGCUGCUGGUCCAAGAGCCAUGUCUGUUCUUUCUGUUCUUUAUCUUUACCCCCAUUUAGCAAGGCAGGGAGAGGAAGUUGUCCUGGGAAGGAAGGUGUGUAGUGAAUAAGCCCAUAGUGUUGGGUGGUGGAGUAUGGUAGAUUAGAUAGUCUUUUCCUUCUCGUAGGUACUCUUGAUUCACCAAUUUAUGUGGCUCCAUGACCUCAGCUGUAGUCUGAUGUGACAUGGACCUAGUCUUGUUGGUGGACUAAUAUCAGGCUGCUGAUUAGAAACUAGAAGCAACAAAGGAAAGGCCUGAGCUUUCCUCCCAGAUAGGUGGAGUGUGUUUGCUCCCUGGAUCUGUUCCCUCAAACUUUACCAUUCAGAACCUCCAACAAUUGUUCUUUUCUUUCCAUUCCUCCAUUCCUGGCUUUUCUGUGAAUGGGGUGAGUAACUAGCAGAGUGCUGGCAUAAGGUCAGCCUGCUCAACUAGCUAGGCUGUGAGAUAUUUGGGAGACAUCUGGGCAGCACUGUAGACAGGGUAUGGUAGUACCAGGGCACUUUUACUUCCCACAGUUGUGGGAAGGAAGCUUCUUGGCUCCUGACAUCUAACCUGAGCUUAUUCUGGGUGUAGUUCCCUUUACAGUCCCUAAGGUUCUGGGAACUGCCCAGGGCUCAAGCAUGCUCUUUCCUCUGAAGAAUGGGUAUUUUGGACACAUUGAGCUUUUAAGGAGCUUAGGCUAGGUCUGGGGUCUAAAGUUUAGACUGGGCUGAGCAGUGACUGGAUUCUAGCUUUUUCUCUACUUGGGAUUUUCCUUUGAACAAAUCAUUUUCUUCUUUAGGCCUCCAAUUUCUUCAGAAUAUCUCCAGGCACUUGACAGGGAAACACUUUUCCUCUACCUUACAACAACAGCAGUGUUGAGUUAAAGUGGUGAUGUCCCUCAAAACUAGAAUGACAGCUCCAUUGUAGACACAAACCAGAAAGCAGACAGCAGGUGCUUGCUGCGAUACUCAGAAGUCCCGGUCUAUCAUUGCUGGCAGUGUUCUUGGCCCCUAGGGCUACUGGGAACUAACAGCCAAAUGUCUAGGGUCUAAAGAGAAAAGGAAUAAUCAUGGAUAAUUCUACUAGGUACCUGUAGAAUCUCAACCCCAGCCAGGUCAUGCAGCUACUCUACUGGCAUUAUGUAGAUGUGUUUUACCUUCCCUGCCCCCUCCCACUACUGUCCAAGGAAGAUUAAUGAAUCCGACUCACAUAUUUGAUUGUCUUGUCUCUCCCCUUGAGACAAGCCUCUGAGAUCCCUGCCAAGAAAGCCAGUUUGGAUGAAUUAUCUGUUAUUUUAAGGAGCUGGACAAAUUCAGUCACUGCCUCAGUGGUGUGUGAGGGACAGCUGGGGAAUGGAGGGGCGGAAGUUUGACAAAAAGGUAAGUUCAGUCAGCUCUACAGCUGGGAGGUAGAAAGGAAUAAACAUGGUUCUUCAAGAUGAGCCCCACUGGGAGGCUGAAGCCAGAUGUGCCGCUAGCUGUACUUCAGAACCCUAGGUCUUGUGCCCAACUCUAGUGACCUCUGCUACCAUUCACAACCCUUCCUUUGCCUGAUUUGGAAAGUAGGUGGAGAGCAAAGGGGAUCUUGGCUUUGCCUUUUGUCACACAGCUGUCUCUGUAAAUUAGGGCUGCACCACCCUGCCCAUUUCCCUCUUUCAGACCCUCAUCUAAUGCUUUGCUCCUAGUCACUAACCUGCCUUCUGCUGUGUGACAGGCAGAAUUGCGCAUUGCCAGCCAAGCAGGCAGGACAGUUAGCAUGCCUUGUAGGAUCUAAGCAUGCCUGGCACUUUUCCCUUGGCCUCAUGUGAGUUCUGCAAGACAGCUGUGGUACUGAAGAUGAAAUGGCAUGGCUGACCAUAGUAAAAUGCAAGGUGCCCUACCCAAGGACCUGAUUGGUCCACACCAUCUGGAUUCCAUGGUAUCCUUUCCUUACUGGGGCUAUGAAUUGUUCAGUGCAUAUCUUGGCUUUAUCCUCUGGCUUUGGUGUGUCCCCAAGACUGCAGCCUUAGAGGAGGAUGUGAACUCUCAUAGGUCACUUUUUUAUACAUAUGUUGUGCCUCUGGGAUAAGUAAGAGAUAAUGUCCUUUUAAUCAGCCUGCCAUCUAUAGGAGGACAUUGCUUUCCUUCCUUUUCCUGGUCAGUGGCCAUGAGGAAAGCAUACACUGGGUUUGGUUCCUUGCUGGUUCCUUUCCACUGCUUAUGGGUUGAUAAGCAAGAAAAUACUCAUGAGGCCCCAUGGUCUGUACAGAGCCUGGUGCUGUAGAGUCAUGCCUAUGUGGGUAGAGUACAGGAAUAGGGUGAAGGGAACCACACAGGGCCGUGGUUGUUUGUGGUUGGAUAAUAGGAACAAGUAACGAGGGUGUGGGAAGACACAUCCAAAUGUCUAGGCUCUAGGCAGGGUGGAGCCAGGAUGAGUCUCUAGUGAAGCAAGGAGAUGGCAUCAAAUAUCUUGGUCUCCAUAUGCCAUCCAUGGAAGAGGAAACUGUUCUCCCACACUUGGUUACACAGAUAUUAUUUCCUUUAUAUUGUUAAUGAAAGUGUAAUUAUUGAAUGAUUUAAAUUAAAGUCACACAAUUGAUGAGUGAUGUUGAGAUUUGAUUCAGCACUUCUGAUUCCAAAGCCCUGUUUUCUCCUCACCCUUGGGCUGAGGUCAGACAUUUUUGUGAAUUAACAUCCUCAAGAAAUUAUAUAAUCUCAAGUGAAAGCAAACUUUCUAUGUCCUAGCAAGGCUGUACACAUUCCUUUUUGGGGGAGGUGAGGCAGAUGUUAUUUGGUGUCUGUGGAAGGGGUAAAAAUUCUCUUCUAGAUGUAGGGGACAGUACUAGGUGCUGGAAGUCCAGAGGCCCAAGACUAGGUUUCUUCUUGUGCUGUGGGUGUAAGAGUUCCAAUAACAAAGCAGCAUAAAAUACACAGUAGGCAUAGGUAACACUGUGUGUGGAUGAGGAAGAUACCACCCACUGAAAAUAUGGUGACUAAUUUCUGUCAUGUCAGCACUCAGGAGGCUGAACCAGGAAACUUGAGUUCCAGGCUUGCCUGGGCUAUGUAGUGAGACCUUAUCUCAAAACAAAACAAAACACAGAAGAAAAAAGGGGUCCAGAUGAUAGACAAGUCCUGAAGCGCCUCAGUACCCUGGGAAACUGUCUUAGUUGGGCUGUCUUCCAAAAGAUUAGAACUGAUAUGGACACCAACUCCUUUUUUCCCUAGGCAUUAAAAAAAAAAAAUCCUUACAAGUUCUCUAUAGCUCACAGAAGCAUGUACUAGGUUAGGAAUCAAGGUGGGAGGAGAGGUCAGACUCUGAUCCACCAUCUUAAUGUUAUUUUCACUUUGUAUGGCUGCCCUUAACCUCUGUCUUCUUCUUUCAACCCUCAUCAGGCAUUAGCUGCCUUUGUGCCUCAGUCUAAUCACUGUGCCUUUCUUGUCUGUGCAGCACAGGGAACAUUCAGGUCAGGUCUUUGCUAAGUCACUAAGUAUGUGCUUACAGGAGGCUAAUUUGAAUCCCAGUCUCUGCUAAGACUAUGGUUUCUUCAGGAAACUGACAAGCCCAGGUGGGGAGAAGUCACCCAGUGUUAGAUCCUUUGUGUGCUGUGUGCUCUGUGAGGUCGAGGUGGGCCAGUGGUGCUGAGCCACAAGUGCUUCUGCUCCAUGGUGUUCAACUUCAGGACUCAGAACUUGUUUGCUUGGAAAGAGGUGACUCUGGUGACCCAGGCUAUGCAGUUCCCUCCUCCUUGGCCUAACAUUGCUGCUUGGGACUACUCAAAAUAUAGGAGCUGCCAUUGGCUGAAAGUGCCAAAAGCUGCACAGGGAUAAGGUGAUGUGUGGUUAGAGGUUAUGGCAUGGGGAAAUAGGUCAGGGAAAGUGGAUUUAUGCUGUUUUGUGUUCAUUCCCGUGAACACAAGUCAGUUUACUUGUCUGUGAAACAGGUUCUGAAUGAGGAUCCUGUUGGAGGUUCCAACUCAUGUUACCUCUAGGCCUGUCCUGGAUGUUUGUGCAGUGUUUGCUUAGCCAGAAACUCAAGGCCAGGAAAAUGAACCCAUUUGAGAGAGAAAACCAAGUUUUGUUCCAAAGAGGCACCCUAGCUAGUGCUAGUGUGAAUGAUGGUUGGUGAUGGGCUUUGGGUAGGUAGUAGGAAUGUGUUUUUGCAUGGGUGGCAGUGAAGAGAAAGGGUUAACUGAGUGAAAGUAGUUGGUGAGGACCUACUAGGUGACAGGAUAGGACACUGUUCCCUCUUAGAGACAAGUAAGAGAUGUGCAUAUGGGAGCUGGCUGUGGUGCAGGACAUGGAUUGAAAGACCCUGUAUGUUCAAGGGAGAUGUUCUGUUCAAGGCCUGCUCCUGUGCCUCCUUUGCACAGUAAGUGUGGUUGGGACUCAAGCCUAUCUGCAAUGUGACAAAAAUUCUCCAAAGCUGCCUGGGUAGGAGCUCCAGGGCCAAGGAACAUGUGGAACAGUCUUAAGGAUUCUCAGGAGCUUUAAGGAGCCUUAAAGUCACUACACACUUAGAUCUCUUGACAUUAGCUGGUUCACUGAGUCAUUUCCCAACACUGAGCAGAGGGGUAGCAUUGGUCUUGCCAUGACUGAACUGAGCCAGGAAGAGCCCUCUCAGGACCCAAUUGCUUGUUCCCAGCUUUGGAUUUCCAACCCAAGUCCUCUACUCCAGCUAGACCAGGGGUUGGAGCAGAGCAUUGAGGUCCUUAGCAGUGUUCUGGAUCUCUGAGGGCUUCACUUCUUACUUUGCACAUUGGAGAAGAGAAGGAAAACUAAGAAUAUCUUUAUUCUCCUGCCCUCUGUUUCUCUGACUGGUUGGAGCUCUUGUGAGAGCUGGCUUGCACUCGGCUAGAAUGCCAGGCAUCCCCAUGUUCCUGAAAAGAUUUCUUGUUAAGGCAUUUGACACCUUCAGAGUUUUUCCAAUGAAUCCGGGCAUGUUUCUGCUGUGUGUUGCUCACUGAGAGGAAGUCUCACUGUGGCAACUUUGAGUUUUCUCCCGUUCUAUUUGUGAGGGAUGCCUGGAGCUUUCCCAGCAUGUGUGUUGUGUCUGUGUUACCUGUUUGCUGGCUAACAUAUAUCACCACUGGAAGCACUGGCUAAUGUGCUGCAUAGUUAGAUGCUGGGAAUACUGUCAUCAGCUCAGAACCCUUGCCGCAUGAUCAGUGUGGAAAAAUAGGCCUCCCUUGUAUCGGAAAAGCGAGUCAGAGGAGUGAUGGGCACCAGGCUUCUUUGAGUCCUGAAAACAGUCCUCAAUUUUUUAAGGGGUGCUGAGGCUGAGUAUUGGGCUGUAUGACCUCUUGACUAUUCAGCCUCUAAGUGACCUUUAUUUUAAUAGAUCAGGGCUCUGACGAAGGGCUAGAGAAGUGCUUGCUUUUGCUUAUCAUGAACUUGGGCAUGAAUGAUUAGACUUUCUCUGGGAGUGUUCCCUUCAGAACAUUUGAGGUGGACAGGGUCAGCUAACAUCUGUGUCUGUUUAUAAGCGUCUGUCCCUCUCUGCUCACUGAAUGCAACUAUAGUUUGAAUGGGAGGGUGCAUGGGAGUACUUUUGAUGGAGGAUACUUGUAGCAUCCUGUGAAUUUGUCUUGUAUUAGAGUUGGUUCUUUCUAGUCACCUGGAGAAUGAAAAAGAGAGUGGACCCAACCCAAAGCUGUGAGGGAAAUUCAUGUAGAUGUCAUGAAAGGCCUGUGUGUAACUUUGCUGAGUUCCUAAAGGAAGGUAGAACCUCCUGAGGAGGAGACUUUGGCUGCUCUUGUCAGGUCUGCCUAGCCCUGAGGCUAGGGACUUUGAGACAGUCCCUGAAAUUAUGUGGCCAAGGUUCUAGGAUAUAAAGUGGCUCCUUGGUUCUACCUUUAAUCAACCCUGGCUGCCUUUAUAACAUCCUUAAGCUGGGAGUGUAGAGGAGACAAUGUAGGCACAGAACCUAUGCCUAUAACCCAUUUUCCUUUGCAGAGAGCUUAUGAGAACUGUUCUUAAUUCUCAUAUAAAAACUAGAGAAAGUAUAUAUCUUCCAGGAAAUAUCUGUUCUAUUCCUGUAUUUGUAUCAUUACUACUCCUACCCUGGGCCAUUACUGAAGUGAAGUGGAUACUUGACAAUCAUUGUAGUUGGGAGAAAGGUAAUAGAGGAAGCAAGAUCAGAUGAAGUUUUCUAAGGAAGAAGGUAGGAGAAGAGUUUGAGUAGACUCACAACUCUGGGAGUCACGGGCAUUGGUUUUGGUGCUAAAGGCUUAGUUGUAUGUUGAAGUGGACAUACUACUUAGAGGGAACCAGGAGUGUUAAAUGAUUAAUUAAUGGCUCAAUAAAAGUUGUGCUAAGUAUGGAAAAUCCUAUGUCCUUUUGAGUUAUUUGCUAGCUGUAGAUUUAGUAUCACAAGGCUUGAUAAGACAGGCCUGUCUUAAGUUCACACUUACUAUUGACUUUCUUCCUCCUUCUUUUCCUUAGCCAUUUCUGAAUAUAGUCAUUUCAAUCUAUGGAGGAUUGGAUCCACAGAUGCUGAAGUCCUUCUGUGAGGUGAAAACAAUUUAUACACAUCCUCUCAUGAACUUUCAACCAUGCCCAGAUUUCUUAUAAUACCUAACUCAAAGUAAAUGCUGCCAAAUAAUGCUUAAAGAAUUCUUUAGAGGAUAGUGGUUAAAAAGUCUGUGCAUAUAAAGUAGUGUAGUUCAUAUUUAUAUACACAUGUUCAUGCACAAUGAUUGGAGUGCAGGGAGGCAGAACCUGGGGAUAUGGACGACUGACUAUAGUCAUGUGCAGUUACAUUGCCACAUUCUUGAAGUACAGGUUUUCUGGUAUCAGUGAAUGAGUGACUUUGAUUUGGAGUAUAAACAGACUGCCCACUGCAGGGACCUUUCUGUCUCCAGGGUUUAGCUGCCUAUAGACCCUGGUAGAGAUCAGGUUGCCCUAUAGUAGAUACCUAAUUUGGAGUGGUGGUUGUUUAGGUAUGCCAAUCCUAAACCUGAUCAGCUCAAAUUCUAAUAGCUUUGGAUAUCUAAGACCACAUGCUGCUCUUCUAGGUGCUAGGCACAGAGAGGGAGGGAACACUGCCUCUGGCCACUGGCUGCUCUCCAAAACAGGUGAACUUUGUGUUCAAAAGGAAUGCAUUUAAUCUUUUGGGCCUAAUAGGAGUUACUUGUAUUUUCUCUCCUUUUUGCCCUCCUUUCUCUUCACCCCCAUCCUUGCUGCCUCCCCAGCCACCAAAGAAUUUAAUCUGCUGGACAACAAACAAUACAGUUAUAAAACUUUGAAAACAAGAGGGUGCGGCCUCCCCAGUGAGGAAAAGGGCAUGCUGGGUAAUGGCCCCAGGGAAAAUGCCAGGCUUGAGAUUGAGCCUGUGAAAGCCCAGUUGGCUGGGUACCUGAGUGGCUGCCCUGCCCUGCCCAGUUCUAAGCUAUCUCCAGUCCAGAAAGGGGACAGAAAAGGGCUUGUAAAGGGGAAGUUGUGCAUGUUCCCCUCUGAUGGGAAUGCACUAGACUGUGAAACUUCCUCCUCUGCCUCUUCUGACUCUCUUCUCCCUCCUUUUCCAUUUCCCCCCUCCCACCUCCCUGCUCCUUCCACCUCCUCCUCCUUUUUCUUGAGACUAGCAGACAGAAGUUAUAACUGAAAAGGGUUAGAAUAGCAUUGUAGGUGCCGCUACUAGCUGGGACUGCCAAAGGUGAAACAGGGUUUGGGGCUUGUGUUGCCUAGAGGCUCAGACAUAUCUCUGCUAAGCCUAACCUCUCUCCCCAACCUGGAGCAUGCAGCCACAUAUACAUCAUAGCCUGUGCUCCAGCCUGUGUACUGCCAGGUGUGUGCCCAUAUACUGGGCAGAACUGCCACUAGGAGAUCAAUAGGUCCACCCUGGCUUCCUGGUGCCUGCCUAGGGCUGUGCUGAGGAGAAUGGCUAACUGAAAUGCUUUCUUCUGAGAGUGUGUAAAACACUCCACAGGAGGAGUGAGGCUUGUUGCAGAGAACUCCUGGGAACCCAGUGAGUAGGCACAUGAUCCAGUGAGUAUGGCAUCAGAUAGGAUGUUGUGUCUUUCCCUUCCCUUGCUUUUUGGCAGGAGGAGGAGGAAUUGACCAGUCCUGGCUGGUGAGUUAGGGAAGUUGGACUUGGGUAUCUCCGCCCUGACCUGAUUAAGCUGGUAUCCUUAUUGAACCCUCUCCACUGAGCCAUAUAGACCAUUUGGGAAUGUUAAAGGCGUAGGCUAUGUAGGUCUGGGGCCAUGAACUUUGUGGUCGGCAUUGGAAGACCACAGGCAGGCUUGCCUUUCCUCUUGUGGCAAGCUUCAGCUUCCAUGGAAGUGCUUCUGGGCAGUGUUUUUCCUUCCUGUGAGAGCAAAGCCCUCUGCCACAAGGAGGGCACAUUGCUCUCUAGCCUUCACUCUGUACCUGCCUCCCUCCUUCUUUACUAUGUGUAUUUCAUCCCAGAAGGCAGCCGUAGUACCAUGCCUUGUCUAGCCCAGAUAUUGUGCCAGGACCUUAGUGCCCUGUAUGGAAUCGCACUAAGUUUGGGAGCUUUUGAGACCCAAGACUUGUUCAGUAACAUUGAGGAAGAGACAGAAAAAUCUAAUUUUUAGAAUGUGGUUCCCCAGGAACAUAGGUCUCCAUAUCUCUAACUCAGUGAAGCCAAGAGAGGCUGGCCUCCAUGGACUUUUGAAACCUUUGCUUCUCACUUGGUUACCCAAGCAGGCACUUGCAGGACACACUGAGUCUCAAGGGUACUAUGCCCACUUUGGGAAUCAGUUGUCACUGAUGUUAGGCCAACAAGUUACAAAUUCCCCUUUAUUCAUGUAGCCUCAACAUAUAUCCCUUGUUUUUAUCACCCUUUCCUCUGAUUCAUUAACCACAGCUUGUUGGCAGCAUUCCCUACCUACCCUGACAGCCAAAGACAAAAUGUCCUGGAUGCUGGGCCUGGGCUACUGCUGAGAGUGACAGGAAGCCAGGCAGCCUGUUCAGUUCAUAUAUGUGCAGUCUCUCUUGGAGGUAAGAUGUUCCCUUUUCUUCCAAAAAGACCUUCCCUAGCCUCCCCUCCCAAAGAUAAGUUCUUUUAACUGGUGGGAAGCCCUAAAUCAGUCUUUAGACGCAGACAAGAAAAUGGAUGGCAGGCUUCUGUCACCCUCCCCCACUCUGGCUGGAACUCUCAUCAUGCAUAUAACUGUGACUCAGCACCCAAUGCUGGGUCAGGAAGGAGAAACUAUUGCCUGGCUGGAACCUUCCCACGUUCUGCAUGUGAGCGCAUCAGACAGCACAGGCUGGGCCACUAGGGUGAGGUUCCUGGAGCAAGUGUUUUCCCCUCCCACCGGUUUUCUUCCCACAUUUUUUGGGGUUCUGUUCUGGGCUCAGGAUAUUUAGGAUUCUAAAAAUCAUAGCAGUGGUCAUAGAUCACUUUUUAAUCUUUGUUUUUAGCCAGUGGCCCAUGAAGAGUGUUUAACCUUUAAUUGUACUGUCUGGCCUGCUUGAGUUGGUUUUUCUGUGUGUUAAUUUUGUAUAUCUCUAGACAGAAUAUGAUUUUCUAGAUUACUGUACCUCUCCUGCAUGCUGUUGCUGCCUCUGGCUAUUUCCUUCCUAAGCACUGUGUGUGUGUGUGUGUGUGUGUGUGUGUGUGUGUGUGUGUGUGUGUGUGAGAGAGAGAGAGAGAGAGAGAGAGAGAGAGAGAGAGAAUAUUGACCAGUUUUCCCUAGCCUACUCUACAGAUGAAUACACUAAAGCCAUUCAGGAUGAUGGCAGGGCCCUAUUUUCAGCAUGUAGAUAAGCAGGUGUUCUAAUUUACAAGGAGUGACCUUGCCUCCGCCCCUCUGGUCUCUGCCUUGCCAGAGAAGUGUUCUGUUAUGGGUGGGUAGAAUGGCCCCAGAGAGAAAUAGGUACAGGAACAGAUGAAAGCUGGAGAGUGGUGUCUCAGACUUCUUCCAUGUUCAGUUACCUUUUCAGUACUGCUAAGUGAGGUACAGUGAUUUCUUUCCUAGACAACUCCAUCAGACCUUGUAGCUUGAAGUUUACUUGAAGCCAUUUAAUUGAGGAGGGGGAUCCUAUUACUCACACUGAGAGCAGAGCCCUAGCAGCCCAAGGUUUUCAUGGGCUGCUGCCAUAGACAUCCCGGUGACUUUCAGGCCUGGUGCCAGAAAGCUAGAGCCUUCUAGACUUUAACAAAUCACCCAGUUAUUCCAAACUAGUGAAGAAUCAUCACCUUGUUGCAGAAAAGGGACAUUGCUCAGCUGACCAUGGGAAUUCUGCUUUUGUGGGAUGCUGAGGCCUGAGUGGAGUUGGAUGGACAAAGGGUCUGAAUGCUAAAACUACUUUUCUUUCCCUCUUCUGUAGCUUAGUGUUUAAAUCACCAUUCAGUGGUUCUUAUCUACCAGAAACCAGGGUUUGCAGUCCAAGAGUGGAACCUUAGACCUUACCUUUUCCUUCACUGGUAGUUUCCCCUUGUCAGGCAUAGCACCUCCCCUGGGCCUGGGCAGCAUUUCACUUGCUGGGUAGGAAGAAAGGCAUUAGCUUCAUGCCAUGCUGAGAACCAAAAGAAAUAGGUGUUUUCUAAAUUAAAGCAAACUGGGCUAGCCUUGGAGAAAGCUUUCUAGAGCUGAAAUAGGACAAAUGGGGGUGGCAGCGGAGGGAGUAGGUGGAGAGUUGCCAAAAGGAGGUAACAGCACAGGCUGAGAAUUCUGGGAGGAAGGGUGUGCCCUGUAUCCCUGCAGGAUAUCUCUUAACAUAGAGGAAGGGAGACUGAGGAUACUAGCAAUAGGAAGUUGCUAAGAAAAUUUGGCUGAAAUGAAAAUCAGAAAAGCUGAGUAUUAUAUGCAAAUCUCAUCUGUUCCCUUCAUUUACAGGGUUUUGACUCUUGUUAAUAACUUCCAUCUAAUAUAUUUACGACCUACCAUCUAGUUCAUAAGGCCCUAAUUUUGGCAACCAGUGUCACUGUCACUCAGGAACUCAGUGUACAAAUUUGCCUACACUCCUCUGUAGCUGAGACCCUGGAGAAGCCCAGGGAAGGUGCUGAGCCUUCUGUUUCUCCUCUGGCUGGCCCAGGUUCUUAGAAGCUAAGCCUAUCAAUGUCAUUGGUAGGCUUCAUUGCCAUCAUUCCCUAUUGCUGGGGAGGACAGAGGUACCAGUCAGGCAAUAGAGCAAAAGCAGGUUCUAGAAUACCUGACCCCCUUGCAGUACCAACACCAUGCGCCCUCAUCUUUACGCAGGUGUAGCAUAUAUUACAGGGAGUCUCUUUCACUCCCAUCCAGAUUGCCUGGGCUAAAUACCCCUCCCCAGUCUAGCUAAGAGUUCUCCUUGGAGAUUACAGUCAAGCUGUACAGACCAAGCAGUGGCAGUGGGCAGAGGGACAGGAAUACAGACAUUAGUCCAUCUGUUCCUAUGACUACAGUUUCUUGUGCAGACAUCAGAAUAAUACCUGCUUCAUUGGACUCUUGGAACAACUAAGUACUGUGACUCUCACAUUAUAUUUGCUCUAUUACCCUAUAGCAGCCAUAAAAAGAGAUAAGCUUACAUCUGGGGAGGCCAAAAAAGAGUUGCUGGGGAACCAGAAACAUGCAUCUCUAUUCUUUCUUCCAUGAGAUCCUCUUUCUUUGGGUUGUGACAUCAGAGGAAACACACAGCAAAGAGGCAGUCCAAUUUGAAACAUAGUUUGUAAAUCUUAUUUUCAGAUAAAUUUAAAAAAUGUACCUCAUUUUUGUGUUAGAGAAUUAUCUAUAUAAUACAAUAAGAUACCAGCUUUUAAAAUUAUUCUGCAUUAAAUCAAAUUGCCAGCCUAUGGGGUCAUGGGAUGGAAAGGAUGAACAUGUGAUCUUUUUGAAUAAUACUCGUGGAAGAGUUGUCCUGACACAGAUGCCACACUUGUGUUCAGUGGUUAACAUCUCAUAGGUCACUGUCCUGAAGGAGUGACAUAAUAUAUGUCACUAUGCAUGACAGACACUAUGCAUCUUGGGAAAUACUACAUAAAUUCAAGUUAUUACAAUUGUACAUGUGUAGAAUGGACUUGGUUCUUUUAUUUCAUUGUGUAUAUAUAUUGUGUAAUUUAUAAUGACUAAUGUGAAGUCAUACAGGGAACAAGCUUUGCAUUGGUCUUGUCUGCUCAAAAUGUUGACUGUGAUUCUGAUGCUGCUUUGCACAACAUUGUACAGCUGUCCUCUGCCUCUGACAGGCAAGAUGAUUCUCAGAACUAAGGCUGGACCUUCUGACUGCACUUCUCUGCUUUCUUCAGUGAGAUCCUCUUCUUCUGGAAGCUGGUUUCACAUGGUGGCUUAGAUUUUUCCAUCUUUGUAUCUAGCACCAUUUGAAAUCAGUGUUUUAGGAGUAAGAAUUGCAGCACAGCAGAGGUUAGGCUACAGAGAAGCAGCUGUACACAGGAUUGGCUCUCUCCUUCAAGAAGUCAAAGGAAGAAUUGGAACAGUGAAAUUUGCUCUUGAGUCUGUUUGGUUUAGAGGCAGUGAUAGUGGGCAAGUUGUUGUGUUCAAAAUAAAUGCAAGGGCAUGAUCAGGGGCAGGGAGUGAUCCACUUUAUCCAGCAUUCCAUGGGAGGGGGAGGGUGGCUUGGGCCUGGCUCUGUAAUUUUCAUCAUCAUUCAGUGAUGUUCUGGGUGUUGAUUGUAGCAGGAAAGGGAGAGUGCUCCGUACAUGGAGAACUGCUUCACCCACAUCAGUACUGCCUGCCUGUACCUGGAAGAUGCCUGGAGUACUUAGCCGUGGUUGCAACACAGCUGAAAUAAGACUUGUCACUUAUCUGCCUUGAGGUUCAGACCUGAAGACCACCACUGGCCUAUCUCUUACACAGGCUGACCGAUUUCUCCUGGUGUUCAGAGUCUAGUUUUUGUCUAGCACCAUUUGAAAUCGGUUAUGAUGUAGGGGGAAAAGCACCAGUCUCAGAGCCUCGUGGUGUCUGGUCAGCAGCAGCCUGUCGUUUCCUACACAGGCAGAGCAGAGAAGGAAGAUCGAAGUUUCCUAACUUCUUUAAUGCAUAUGUAUGUGGUGGCAGAAUUUAGAGAUAACUUAAUGGAGUUUCAAAAUUAAAUUGUUGUAAUUUAUCUGAUAUCCUCAGUUGCGCUUUCUGACAUGUGGUACAUGUUAAUUGUAUAAAUUGUUUGCUGUUGAACCGUCUUUCUGUUAAGAGUAUGUUCAUGCAUCCUGGCUUUAAUAAAUAAUUUGCUAUAUUCAGUUUA